UACCAGCACCCCGAGUGGUCGGGACGUUUAUUGGGCCUAAAGCAUCCGUAACCGGGUCUACAAGUCUUCCGUUAAAUCCAACUGCUUAACAGGUGGGCUGCGGAAGAUACUAUAGAGCUAGGAGGCGGGAGAGGCAAGCGGUACUCGAUGGGUAGGGGUAAAAUCCGUUGAUCCAUUGAAGACCACCAGUGGCGAAGGCGGCUUGCCAGAACGCGCUCGACGGUGAGGGAUGAAAGCUGGGGGAGCAAACCGG
rnacentral:rRNA from 1 species